rnacentral:rRNA from 1 species
UACGUAGGGUGCAAGCGUUGUCCGGAAUUAUUGGGCGUAAAGAGCUCGUAGGCGGUCUGUCGCGUCGGAAGUGAAAACCUGGGGCUUAACCCCGGGCCUGCUUUCGAUACGAGCAAACUAGAGUGUUGCAGGGGAGACUGGAAUUCCUGGUGUAGCGGUGAAAUGCGCAGAUAUCAGGAGGAACACCGGUGGCGAAGGCGGGUCUCUGGGCAAGCAUAUCGAUGACGCUGAGGAGCGAAAGCGUGGGGAGCGAACAGG